rnacentral:rRNA from 1 species
GACGAACGCUGGCGGCGUGCCUAAUACAUGCAAGUCGAACGCUUCUUUCCUCCCGAGUGCUUGCACUCAAUUGGAAAGAGGAGUGGCGGACGGGUGAGUAACACGUGGGUAACCUACCCAUCAGAGGGGGAUAACACUUGGAAACAGGUGCUAAUGCCGCAUAACAGUUUAUGCCGCAUGGCAUAAGAGUGAAAGGCGCUUUCGGGUGUCGCUGAUGGAUGGACCCGCGGUGCAUUAGCUAGUUGGUGAGGUAACGGCUCACCAAGGCCACGAUGCAUAGCCGACCUGAGAGGGUGAUCGGCCACACUGGGACUGAGACACGGCCCAGACUCCUACGGGAGGCAGCAGUAGGGAAUCUUCGGCAAUGGACGAAAGUCUGACCGAGCAACGCCGCGUGAGUGAAGAAGGUUUUCGGAUCGUAAAACUCUGUUGUUAGAGAAGAACAAGGACGUUAGUAACUGAACGUCCCCUGACGGUAUCUAACCAGAAAGCCACGGCUAACUACGUG